rnacentral:lncRNA from 1 species
AAUUAUUAUGCACAUCUAAAUCUUCAUUUCCUACUUGUUUUCCAUGUUUGCAGAGCGCUCUGUUCCACGUCUUUCAUGGGACAUAAGGCUGAAGAUUGCGAUAGAUGCUGCACGAGGUCUGGCUUACUUGCACACAUUGGAGAAGCCAGUGAUUUACAGAGAUUUCAAGUCCUCGAAUAUACUACUUGAUGAGGUAAGUUCAUAUGAAGCUUGUACAUUCUAACCACCCUCAAACAUAUAAACAAUGAAUGUUAUUUCAAGACUCCACUAAUGAUUGAACCGAUAACAUUCCUCUAGCUCCAGCCUUUAGUUCUUGCCGGUUCCACUGAAAAUAGUUAUGGGAGAAUGCAACAUAAAGUUUUCUUUGAAGUGUUUGUUGAAAUAUUCAAGACGACUCAUUUCCUUCCAACUUCUUUAUUU